GAUGAAGAACGUAGCGAAACGCGAUAAGUAAUGUGAAUUGCAGAAUCCAGUGAAUCAUCGAAUCUUUGAACGCACAUUGCGCCCGCCAGCAUUCUGGCGGGCAUGCCUGUUCGAGCGUCAUUUCAACCCUCGACCUCCCCUUGGGGAGGUCGGCGUUGGGGACCGGCAGCACACCGCCGGCCCUGAAAUGGAGUGGCGGCCCGUCAGCGGCGACCUCUGCGCAGUAAUACAGCUCGCACCGGGACCCCGACGCGGCCACGCCGUAAAACACCCAACUUCUGAACGUUGACCUCGAAUCAGGUAGGACUACCCGCUGAACUUAAGCAUAUCAAUAAGCGGAGGA
rnacentral:misc_RNA from 1 species